UACAGAGGGUGCGAGCGUUAAUCGGAUUUACUGGGCGUAAAGCGUGCGUAGGCGGCUUUUUCAGUCGGAUGUGAAAUCCCCGAGCUUAACUUGGGAAUUGCAUUCGAUACUGGGAAGCUAGAGUAUGGGAGAGGAUGGUAGAAUUCCAGGUGUAGCGGUGAAAUGCGUAGAGAUCUGGAGGAAUACCGACGGCGAAGGCAGCCAUCUGGCCUAAUACUGACGCUGAGGUACGAAAGCAUGGGGAGCAAACAGG
rnacentral:rRNA from 1 species